CUGGGACUGAGACACGGCCCAGAUUCCUACGGGAGGCAGCAGUAGGGAAUCUUCCACAAUGGACGAAAGUCUGAUGGAGCAACGCCGCGUGAGUGAAGAAGGUUUUCGGAUCGUAAAACUCUGUUGUUGGAGAAGAAUGUAUCUGAUAGUAACUGAUCAGGUAGUGACGGUAUCCAACCAGAAAGCCACGGCUAACUACGUGCCAGCAGCCGCGGUAAUACGUAGGUGGCAAGCGUUGUCCGGAUUUAUUGGGCGUAAAGCGAGCGCAGGCGGUUUCUUAAGUCUGAUGUGAAAGCCUUCGGCUCAACCGAAGAAGUGCAUCGGAAACUGGGAAACUUGAGUGCAGAAGAGGACAGUGGAACUCCAUGUGUAGCGGUGAAAUGCGUAGAUAUAUGGAAGAACACCAGUGGCGAAGGCGGCUGUCUGGUCUGUAACUGACGCUGAGGCUCGAAAGCAUGGGUAGCAAACAGGAUUAGAUACCCUGGUAGUCCAUGCCGUAAACGAUGAGUGCUAGGUGUUGGAGGGUUUCCGCCCUUCAGUGCCGCAGCUAACGCAUUAAGCACUCCGCCUGGGGAGUACGACCGCAAGGUUGAAACUCAAAGGAAUUGACGGGGGCCCGCACAAGCGGUGGAGCAUGUGGUUUAAUUCGAAGCAACGCGAAGAACCUUACCAGGUCUUGACAUCCUUUGACCACUCUAGAGAUAGAGCUUUCCCUUCGGGGACAAAGUGACAGGUGGUGCAUGGUUGUCGUCAGCUCGUGUCGUGAGAUGUUGGGUUAAGUCCCGCAACGAGCGCAACCCUUAUUACUAGUUGCCAGCAUUUAGUUGGGCACUCUAGUGAGACUGCCGGUGACAAACCGGAGGAAGGUGGGGACGACGUCAAAUCAUCAUGCCCCUUAUGACCUGGGCUACACACGUGCUACAAUGGAUGGUACAACGAGUUGCGAGACCGCGAGGUUUAGCUAAUCUCUUAAAACCAUUCUCAGUUCGGAUUGUAGGCUGCAACUCGCCUACAUGAAGCCGGAAUCGCUAGUAAUCGCGGAUCAGCAUGCCGCGGUGAAUACGUUCCCGGGCCUUGUACACACCGCCCGUCACACCAUGAGAGUUUGUAACACCCAAAGCCGGUGAGGUAACCCUUCGGGGAGCCAGCCGUCUAAGG
rnacentral:rRNA from 1 species